rnacentral:hammerhead_ribozyme from 1 species
CUCUGCUGAAGAGUCCCACAAUAGGAUGAAACGGCCCUUCAGAG